GUCGCGCCCGCAAGGGUGAGGAAAGUCCGGACUCCGCAGGGCGAGGGACCCGGUUGUCAAGGCCGGGGACGCGGCGGCGAUCGCCGCGUACGGAAAGUGCCACAGAGAACAGACAGCCCGCAAGGGUGAUGGUGAAAGGGCGGUGUAAGAGACCACCGGGCGCAGGCGAAAGCCGCGCCGCAGGGCAAACCCUCCCUGGAGCAAGAUCAAAUAGGGGACUGAACGGGCGGCCCGUCCGGUUCGCGUCUGCAAGGGCGCGGUGAAGUCCCGGGUUGAUUGCUCAGAUGAAUGAUCGGAGCCCCCGCAGGCGGCGCGAGCCGCGGAAGGGGUGAACAGAAUCCGGCUUAUUCGCCG
rnacentral:RNase_P_RNA from 1 species